AUUAGAUCAUUCUUCAGAGAUCCGUGAGGAUGGACUGUGGAGCAGAGCGGAGUAAAAAGAAGAAAAGUUAGAUAACUUGAAGACGAGCAAAAUGCAAAAGCGGCUGACAGGCGCAAAUGAAAAAAAAAUGUUGGUGAUAUGUAUGUAGAUGUAGUGAUGAUGUGGGAAAGCUGAGCGAUCGCCAAAAGAGGGCACAACUGACGCAUCGCUCGCAAUAUCUGAAUUUCAAAGAGAAACAUAUUUCGAGGAUAUUGAAAAUCCUUGAGAAGGAGCAAAGUUGCAGGAACAGCCGCAACGAGUACGGCGAUUCGAAAAGGCGAGCGCUCUAUAAAGGACGUGGCGAUUCGACCAGCGGAAUCAAAAAAGGAGAAUUCCUCUAGCACAAGCGCAGAGAAUCUUUGACGACGCCUCAAACAAUACAGGAUGAUUAAGCUGCCUCGAAAUGUAAUUACUUUACAAUUAAUAAACUACUGUAAGGUCAAUUAUAUAUGCAUCACAGGUCAACAACGAACUCCGACCGAUGAACAUCGUCAACCAAACACACGUUCCCGAACACGAUCAAUACUCGAUAUACUGCCGACCAGUGCGGAAAAAAGAGGAAUAAGGCUGCGAGAGACAAGGAUCUCGAAGAUGAAACCUCGUCAUUGACGACGGUGCUGGUGGCGAAGGCGGAUCGACAGUAAUUGGAGUCUGCCACAGACCGCGAACUUUGAACUUUCAAAAAAUAGUUACACGACCGCGAGGAAUCGAUAACCUGACGAGUGGCGAGAUAUCUAGACAGAGUUCAGCGCAUUUAAUCGCAACGUUUCCGCAUCGACCACUUUGGAUCCAUUAGCAAAAUGAUUGCUGAAAGAUAAAUUUUAUGAACCAAUCAUUCUUGCAGUGUGUCAAAUUUCAAAAUAAUAGCAGAUGUUUUUAUCAUUUGUUAAUCUUAAGCGAGUUGCAGUGGGGAAAUGAAAAGCACCUAUCCCAUAUAUGUAUAUAUGUAUGAUGAAUCUUGUUAUGUGUAUGUAUGCGUGUGAUUGAUGUGUUAAUAUAUGACAGAAAUAACCGAUUAAUUGGAUUUUAAUUGCACGUUAAAAGUGAGAAAGAUACAUUGUCUUCGUGAUCUCUUUGGUAAAAAAUUAAGACGAGAAUCUCUGCAACUUCGGUCGCGUCAAAGUUAAUUAUAAUCAAAUCCGUGAGUAAAAGAAAACGGAAAAGUUGCAUAAACCCGUCGAUCUUGCAGUUUUCGCCAACUCUAUAAGAAAAAAAACCUCCUCUUCAAAGAUCUUUCUAUAAAAAAUAUCGAAGCGCAAAAUAAAAAUAACGAAAGUCUAUGUCUUAUUGUCAGCUAAAAAAAUUCUGUUAUGACUUUAAUACACAAAAUCUUGCAAAUUUGUACUUACAAUAUAAAUAUAAUUAUUGAUAUGAAAAAUCAUAACAACGAUAUAAAUAAUUACAUAAUCACAAUAAAUAAUUAAAUAAUUACAUCAAGAUUUAUCAGUAAUACAUUCUUAAUUUUUUUUUAUUUUAAAACCGCAAUCAAUAUUCAUAUAAUAUAACUUCUAGACUCAAAGAUUUUGAUUAAUAUAUAUCGACUAAGAAAAAUAGAUUUGAUCAUCAACAAAAAGAAAAUUACAAUGUUUUCAAAAUUUUUAAACGAUGUUUACGACGUAAUAAUCUUCAAGUCUGAAACUAUCUCGCAUUGAGGAACUUACUAAAUGAAAAAAACUACAAUUUAUUAUUUUGAAAUCACGUGGAACGAGACGAAAAAGAUUCUAAUAAUUCACAAAAUUAACGUGAUAAUAUGAUAAGAUAAAAUAAUAAAACUAUGUUUAAAAAGGAAUUUGCGAUAAGCGUCCACGGAAUUCACGAAUAAAAAAUGAAAUUUCAUUUUUCAAAUGAAAAUCCAAAAUACUUGACAAAAGGAAUAUUGUUUUCAAUAUUGCUUUCAAUAAACGCUUGCGAUCAGAUGACUAUAGCACUAUUUAAACGAGGCGAAGGUCACAGAAGUUAUAGCGGAAGAAGCUGCUGGACGCGAUAAGAAUGUAUUUUGACUUUAGUAAUGUAAACAAACCGAAGAAUGAUCAAUCAUCGGUCUUGAAUAAAAAUGGAAAUUGUGACGACGGAUUUCUCGAGACAUUUCUAUUCAAUGUUUUGACAAAACAAAUGCGGAUUUUGUUACUUUUGCUUACUUCACUAACAUUUUUAUCGCCAACGAACUCGUUUUUUUGAUCGUCGCGCUCGUAAGAUAUGAUCUCGAGCAAUUAAUCGACAUGAUUGAAUAUUAUAAUUUAAAAGCGAUAACUGACGGGACUAGCGCAAUUAUCGAUUUUGCGGUCCCAGUUGUUGCAACAAAGCGCUUUCGCUUGUCUAUGACUUGUUAUAAUAAUUUGAUAUUAGAAGAGCCGAUGUAUGUGUAUGUGUGUGUGUGUGUGUGUGUGUGUGUGUGUGACCGUCCGUGACAUGAAAGUUAUGCAAAUACAUUGAUUUAAUUUUACUACCAUUUUAGUUCUGAAUACAAUACAUACAAAUACAUGGUUAAACAUCUGAGAAUACAAAAUUUUUUUUAUUAUUCUUUCUAAGAUCGCUAAAUUUAAACUUGUGAUCCAUAAAACGACAGCUUGCAUUCUUUUAAUCUUUAUAAUUACCGAUUAGCUAUUCUUCUAUUAUUUUUACAUAAUAAACAAUUUUUCAAAACUAAGACGUACGUCAAAAUAAUUACAACAUAGUGAAACAUGUGAGACUUCGUUAAAAUUCAGAUUCGUAUUUUAUAUUUGGCGAGCAAUUAACUGAGCCAUCGUCUUCUUCCUGAUUCGUCUCAUCCUUUCUUUUUUUUUCUCUUUCUUUCUCUUUCGCUUAAUUAAUUACGCCGUGGAACUGAAAAUUGCGCCGCGUGUAAUUCCCGAGCGGAUAAUGAGAGUCUGCUUACCAAGAAGGGACAGGGAGAGUCUCCCUCCUCCUCCCCAAGACAAUUUGGGGAAUCCGAAAAUGCCGGACGAGAGCUACCUGUUUAGCGGAUGCACCUGCGCAACAAUAAUAAUCAUUGUUUCAACGUCAACGUUUAUUAACGAGCCAAAUCAUAGGGCGUUGCGAGCUAUCCAUCUCUUCAUAAGUAGCACAUGGCCAAUUUCGAUUGAUUAUGGCAGGUAUAGUCGUGCGAGUAGUUCUGGAUUUUCGUGUCGAAGAAAAAAUAAUUCCCGAACAAUCGAUCAUGUAAUAAGAUCGUCGCGCGUUUAACUCUAAUCACAGCAUAACGCAUUUUUGAGAGAACAUUUGCAUAAAUGUGAGAUAAUUAAAUGAUGCGAUAAUAAA